rnacentral:rRNA from 1 species
GUCUUUUUGAAUAAAAUUUAAAGUUGAAUCUGCCCACUGAUGAAUAAUUAAAGGGCUGCAGUAUAUUGACUGUACAAAGGUAGCAUAAUAAUUAGUCUUUUAAUUGAAGACUUGUAUGAAAGAUUUGAUGAAAUAUAAACUGUCUCUUUUUUAUAAUUAGAAUUUAAUUUUUCAGUAAAAAAGCUGAAAUUAAUUUAAAAGACGAGAAGACCCUAUAGAGUUUUAUAAUUGAGUUAAUUAUAUAUUUGUAUUUAAUUUUAAAGUUAAUUGAUUUAAUUAUUUUAUUGGGGUGAUAGAAAAAUUAAAUUAACUUUUUUUAAAUAUUAUACAUUAAUUAAUGAUUUUAUGAUCCAUAUUAUAUGAUUAAAAGAAAAAAUUACCUUAGGGAUAACAGCGUAAUUUUUUUUUUUAGUUCUUAUAAGAAAAAAAGUUUGCGACCUCGAUGUUGGAUUAAGAUAAAAUUUAAAUGCAGAAGUUUAAAAUUUUGAUCUGUUCGAUCAUUAAAAUCUUACA